GGAGACAUCAAGCUCAAAGUUAAUCCAGUGGUACAUGCAUACACAUACUAUCCUCAUAGUUGCCGUUUGACAACAAGUUACUGAAAACCAAUCUAUCAUUAUUAUUUCUUACUUUUUCCCCCACUUUCAGAAUAUGUUCUUGUUUGUCUGAGCAUGAUGGUAAAGCCUAAUUCUCAGAUUGCUGACAGAAAACAUUUACCAUAACAUCCUGUAGACUUUAGAGACCUUUAAGUUGUGUUUUGCUUUUGUUAGUUUGUAAAAUUGUCCUUUAACUUGUAGCCCAGCCUACACUUGUGUAUACAUCCUGUAAAACAUAUGUGCAUCAUACAUUGGAGACAAAUGUCUGUGGUUGAAUUACACUUUUAUAAAUUGAAUAUAACUGUUCAACACAGACAAACAAUGUCUUUGAAUUAUUUGUUAAAGAGGAAAUCCCACCUCCCCCAUACAUGUUGGCACAAUGAGAGAGUGCUAUGGGUUUUAAAGUGCAGCUUCAUCUACUUUGUAGCUUGAAGUUGCUGUUUUUUCUGCCGACUCAUCUAAUUUUUAAUUGACAUCAUGAGAUAAAUAUGAGGGUAAAAAGUUUAGCGAGACAGAGGUGAAAGAGGGAAUGUGAUAAAGCGUGCGAGAGAGAAAGGUUUCUUAGCAGCUGGUUUUGUGUGAGCGGUGCAGCAUUUGUGGGGCACAUUCACCCAAGUUCACCCAUAUUUCAGAUCCCUGUGCCUAAUGUUUCACUCCCUCUGUUCUUUUCUGCAUUUUUUUUUUUUUUUUGUCGCAUCACUUUUGUCACUUUGUCUUUUUUUUCUUCAUUUCUCAUGUCUCUUUGCCUCACCCGUCUUCUCCUUACUAGAACUUUCUUUUGGUAAAUCUUUCAUCCCUAAUGUCAGCUACACAAAGUUCUUUGAGGCCAGAGAGACUCAGCUACACUUAGAAUGUGCUUGCACAGAGUUCCACAAAUGGUACAGUAUGUAGCAACUACAAUGUUAGCGUUCACUAGAUGUAGUAGAAAGACAUAUGUUAUACAUACUGUAAGGCAGUGCCUUCAAAUGCACAGUACCACCAAAGCAGCAUUUCAGGUACUUUUCCAAAUCCAAGUAUUAAAAAAAGUCCUCAAAUAGACUGAAAGUAGUCUGCAUUCUUACAAAGCACAUUUUUGGAAUGAUUUCACUUUCUUUGCACAGUGGUUUCUCUGCCAGCCUAUUUAGUGAGGAGUUGUAAAACUUUGUCUGCUUGUCAGAGAAACAAUGGCUAUGCCUGUUUCUACUGAAGGUUGCAUCAACUGAUAUAAAUACAUUCAAGUUCAAUUCAAUGCCAUACUUUAUAGGAGACAGAAUGAGAACC
ensembl:lncRNA